AGUCGAGCGAAUGGAUUAAGAGCUUGCUCUUAUGAAGUUAGCGGCGGACGGGUGAGUAACACGUGGGUAACCUGCCCAUAAGACUGGGAUAACUCCGGGAAACCGGGGCUAAUACCGGAUAACAUUUUGAACCGCAUGGUUCGAAAUUGAAAGGCGGCUUCGGCUGUCACUUAUGGAUGGACCCGCGUCGCAUUAGCUAGUUGGUGAGGUAACGGCUCACCAAGGCAACGAUGCGUAGCCGACCUGAGAGGGUGAUCGGCCACACUGGGACUGAGACACGGCCCAGACUCCUACGGGAGGCAGCAGUAGGGAAUCUUCCGCAAUGGACGAAAGUCUGACGGAGCAACGCCGCGUGAGUGAUGAAGGCUUUCGGGUCGUAAAACUCUGUUGUUAGGGAAGAACAAGUGCUAGUUGAAUAAGCUGGCACCUUGACGGUACCUAACCAGAAAGCCACGGCUAACUACGUGCCAGCAGCCGCGGUAAUACGUAGGUGGCAAGCGUUAUCCGGAAUUAUUGGGCGUAAAGCGCGCGCAGGUGGUUUCUUAAGUCUGAUGUGAAAGCCCACGGG
rnacentral:rRNA from 2 species